CCCUAGAUGUAAAGGGCGACACCAAUGUCGCCCCUUAAAGGGUUUUAGGCACCAUUUUUGGGGAGACUGAGAGUCCUUUUUGGGGGAUAAAAAGGCACUCACAGGUUGUCCCCUUCCCAAUAUCUCUUCUACUCUUCUCCAUUAGCUCCAAAACCUCCUUCUCCACCUAAAUCCUUUAGAUCUAUAGGACUCUUCUCCCUCCAAAACUCUUAAUCCCACCUCAAAUCUCUUAGAUCCAUCACCCUACAUCUCCUUCCCACCUCAAAUCUUCUUGAUUAGAACUCCAUUUGCCCCAAAUCCUCAUCUCACUUGAAAUCCUCUAGAUCUCAACCUUUCUUUGCCUCAAAACUCUAUUUCCCACUUCUCCACCUCAAGAUCUAGGGCUCUUUACCUUCCCUUGAGUGGAUCUUGCUCUCUCUCCUCCCCAUGGCACCCAAGAUGAGGCUUCUUUAAAGGAGAAAAUCAACAUAUGUUCAAGAAGAGGAAGAAAGGAGAUAAAAGAUAGUACAAGUCUAAGCCCCAUCCUCUCCCCCAAAGACUCCAAGCAAGUAUCGACAUCUUCAUCUGGAUCAGUGAUCUUAGAUGGAGGAUCCGUAUUCCGCACUCAUGAAGGAUCUUUUCCAACAGGUUGUGGCUGACUUCUAUGAUUGUAGAUGUUGACUGUCUUUUGUAUUAUGAUAUUAUGUCUCUUGAUGUAUUUUGGCUGAUGUAGUGCCUGAUAUUAUAUGUUAUAACAUUAUGUGACUCUUGAUGUAUUCUAUUUAGUGUGAUUAUUGAUGUGCUUCUGGCAUUAUGUGACCCUUGCUAUAUCUUAAA